CACCAAUAAAUACGUUCAUCUCGAACCUUCCUACUGACUACCACACAAGCAGAAACGCAUGAUCCUCUGGAACCUUCCAAAUUAAAUGCAUCAGCCAAGAAAUUGCCUAUAAAACCAAAGUACGUUUUUUGGCAAGCAGAAAACACUAGCCACAGAGCAGAUAGAUCCGAAGCCAACGCGAUCCCAAUGUCAUCAAAAUCCGUGCACAGGCAUGCCUGGAGCCCACCGGAGAAAGUCCGACGAAGGUCCUCAUCGGCAUGGUCGCUGGCUUGUCCAAUACCACCCAUACCUAACGAUCCCACCGUACAUUAGGCAUAACCAACCUCCACCUCGCCCGCCAGGUCCGUUCUACCAGCUUCAAGUCCGACGGGGGGAUGAGGUGAACGAGAGAGAUAAGAAGAUGGCAGGAGGAGGACCGGGUGAAGAAUGUAGACGUUGGAGAAUUGGCGAGGGAGACGGUGGUCGAGGAAGGAUGGAUCGGAAGCGCAGAGGAGCCACUGAUCAUUGACGCAGGCUCCAAUGAUGGAAUCAUGAAGGUUGAGCCACGGCUCGGCGCUUAGCAACCCAUGAAGGAGACGGACCGGACGGAAGAUUUAUGACUGUUAUUAUAUUACUCUCGGCGCGCAGCAACCCUGGAACCUGACCGGACGAAAGAUUUAUUACCGCUGCUGUUAUAUUAUUUUGGAUUCUAUUUUCUUAUUAUUAUUAUUUUUUUUAUAUUCUCUUGCAAAUGGUUUUGGGUAAUCAAGCAAAAUUAACUAAACUAUUUGGAUAUGUGUUGUUCUAAGGUUGUGAUUAUUUUCCACUUUUCUUUAAUUUUUGAUUUUUUUUUUGAUAGUGUGGUUAUGCCAGCAGUGAUAAGAGAAUUAAAAUAUAUUAAUCCAGUGUCCGUGG
rnacentral:lncRNA from 1 species